rnacentral:tRNA from 1 species
GUUUCGCUGGUGUAGUGGUCAAGACGCUCGCCUGGUAAUCGGGAGGGCGUGGGUUCGAUCCUCGCCGAGACG